UACAGAGGUCUCAAGCGUUGUUCGGAAUUAUUGGGCGUAAAGGGUGCGUAGGCGGCAGGGUAAGUUAGAUGUGAAAUACCGGGGCUUAACCUCGGAAUUGCAUUUAAGACUGCCUUGCUUGAGCAUUAGAGAGGAGACUGGAAUUUACGGUGUAGCAGUGAAAUGCGUAGAUAUCGUAAGGAAGACCAGUGGCGAAAGCGAGUCUCUGGCUAAAUGCUGACGCUGAGGCACGAAAGCUGGGGGAGCAAACGGG
rnacentral:rRNA from 1 species